GGGGACGAGGGGGUCGAGGACGAGGUGGAGGUGGAGGGAGAGGGCGAGGACGAGGGAGAGGAGGAAGAGGUGCCUCUAGAGGAGCCAGCCGAACCAAACGAGCACGAGUUGCAGAUGAUGAAUUUGAUACGAUGUUUGCAGGACGUUUCAGUAGACUUCCACGGAUUAAAACAAGAAACCAAGGCAGGAGAACUGUUUUAUAUAAUGAUGAUUCAGAUAAUGACAACUUUGUCUCCACUGAGGAUCCUCUGAAUCUUGGUACAUCCAGAUCAGGCAGAGUACGUAAAAUGACAGAAAAAGCCAGGGUUAGCCAUCUCAUGGGAUGGAAUUAUUAACAGUUAGAGAUUUUAAAAUAAUUUUUGAAAAUAAAAUCAAUGGCCUUCUACUGCAGGGAAUUUAUCAGAAAAUCUACAAAGCAAGUUGUGUGGGGACUUCUGCUUCCUUUCACAUUGGUGCUUUUCCAUUAUGCCAGUAUACAUUUGUUUCAAGACUUUUAAUCUCCACACUUCAUUUGUUCAAACAAGCCUUACUCAUUAGGCCUUAAAUUAAAACAAAUUCUGCCCACACAUAUAUGUGUGUGCACAUACACAUGCAUGGACAUGUGCUCACUUGCGUACAAACAUAUACAUAUACACACAUAUACACACACACACACAUACAUACACACAGACACACUACAGAUUUACUACAUUAAAGGAGCAUUCUGCUUCUUAAGAGUAGCAUGACAUUUUUAUCUCAAUAAAAUAUCCCUCUUUGCUUUUGUAUCACAGAAGUAUAGCACCUUCUUACAGAGUUUUAUAUAGUUUGUUUUUGCCAUUUUGAUUCCUAUACCCAGUAAUAAUAACUUUUGCACAAUACACCAAUCCUAAAGGCAGCUAUUAAAUGUUUACAGUUUCUAUAUUGUAAGAACGAUCUGGAUUAUUUUACUCUUCCCAGGCCAAACUUUCACGAACUGUACUGAACUGAAGUAUAUAUUUAUACUGCAGUUUUGGGGUGGGGUGGGGGGUAUCUUGAUAUGCUUUUCAUUGAUUUGCUUAAUUCA
rnacentral:lncRNA from 1 species